rnacentral:rRNA from 1 species
CUUUACUGUAGCCUGGUAUUGGGUUCGGGCUUUGACUGCGCAGGAUAGGUGGGAGACUGAGAAGUGUGCCUUGUGGGGCACAUGGAGUCAACGGUGAGAUACCACUCUGUCAGAGCUAGAAUUCUAACCUUCACCCGUAAUCCGGGGAAGGAACCGUAUCAGGUGGGCAGUUUGACUGGGGCGGUCGCCUCCUAAAAGGUAACGGAGGCGCGCAAAGGUGUUCUCAGGCUGGUUGGAAAUCAGCCGUAGAGUGUAAAGGCAGAAGAACGCUUGACUGUGAGAGUGACAACUCAAGCAGGGUGGAAACACGGCCUUAGUGAUCCGACGGUACUGUGUGGAAAGGCCGUCGCUCAACGGAUAAAAGUUA